rnacentral:rRNA from 1 species
GAUGAACGCUGGCGGCGUGCCUAAUACAUGCAAGUCGAGCGAACAGACGAGGAGCUUGCUCCUCUGACGUUAGCGGCGGACGGGUGAGUAACACGUGGAUAACCUACCUAUAAGACUGGGAUAACUUCGGGAAACCGGAGCUAAUACCGGAUAAUAUAUUGAACCGCAUGGUUCAAUAGUGAAAGACGGUUUUGCUGUCACUUAUAGAUGGAUCCGCGCCGCAUUAGCUAGUUGGUAAGGUAACGGCUUACCAAGGCAACGAUGCGUAGCCGACCUGAGAGGGUGAUCGGCCACACUGGAACUGAGACACGGUCCAGACUCCUACGGGAGGCAGCAGUAGGGAAUCUUCCGCAAUGGGCGAAAGCCUGACGGAGCAACGCCGCGUGAGUGAAGAAGGUCUUCGGAUCGUGAAACUCUGUUAUUAGGGAAGAACAAAUGUGUAAGUAACUAUGCACGUCUUGACGGUACCUAAUCAGAAAGCCACGGCUAACUACGUG